rnacentral:rRNA from 1 species
GUUGGCGUUGCGGGCUCGGUCCGUCGGUGCCACUAAAAGCACUGGCGUGUCAACCGGCCCGCCCGUCCCCUCCUUCUGGAUUCCCGUUCCUGCUAUUGAGUUAGUGGGGACGUCACAGGGGGCUCAUCGUCGUCAUGCAAAUGGCGGCGGUGGGUCCCUGGGGCCCAGAUCGUUUACCGUGAAAAAAUUAGAGUGUUCAAAGCAGGCAGAUCCAAUUCUCUGCCACCGAAUACAUUAGCAUGGGAUAAUGGAAUAGGACCCUGUCCUCCUAUUUUCAGUUGGUUUUGGCAGCGCGAGGACUAGGGUAAUGAUUAAUAGGGAUAGUUGGGGGCAUUAAUAUUUAAUUGUCAGAGGUGAAAUUCUUGGAUUUAUGAAAGAUUAACUUCUGCGAAAGCAUCUGCC